ACACGAACAGAAUUGAACCUACAGAAAGUGAACCGAAUGACGUGGCAGAUGGAAAAUAUUUAAGGCAAAAAAAAGAGAAAAACGCAAACACUCUGUUCACCGUCCCAAUUCAUUCCCGUUUCCCUCUCCAUUCGAAAAUUGGGAACCCUAGAAAUCAUCCCCUUCAUCCCGGCGUCGCCAUCAUUUUCAUCUUCCCGGCGAGUUGAAAUGUGCACAGAUAUUCGAACGUCGAACAGAGAGUGAUAUCGUCUCCUUGGACUUCACCACCGUACCCCGCAUACGGUGAAAUCGCCUCCUUCAUCUUCACCACCGUACGCCGUACCCUUCUCCACCGUCGGGCGUCGAGUCAGCCCUGAACAUCAAGAUGCCACAGUCAACUCCACUAGCAGCAUUCGACUAGCCCGCAUCAGCCGUAAGUGAGGAUGAGACGGAAGAACGUGGGUGUUUGUCACAGUUGUCGAAGUACACAGCACUUCUUCAAUGACUGUCCGGUAAAACGAGGAUGUCCAUGGUGCUCACUGGGAUGGGAGAAAUGCUUUGAAGUUGAAAGGAAGACAGAUAAUCGAGGACGAUUAUUCAAAACGUGCAGUAAUAAUUGUGGAUAUUUCUUUUGGGUCGAGAAUGAAGAAUUCUGUGGUGAAAGUAGUACAAGGACUGAAGCGGUCAUAGAUGAAGUGGGCGAAGAUUUGGCAGCCAUGUUCGAUAGUCUAGCUCAAAUAGCAGAAAAACGAGACGUCGAGAUAACGUUGAAUGUGACUUUCCGCAAGGCAAAGGGAAGUGCGGAAGUGAAUGGAAAGGGAAAGGGCCGAGCUUGAUAAGUAGCAGGAGAAUGUUAUGGCUUGUUUUUGUGUGUGUGUCGGCUGUAGAAUAAA